CCCGGCACAAGCGGUGGAGCAUGUGGUUUAAUUCGAUGCAACGCGAAGAACCUUACCUGGUCUUGACAUCCACGGAAGUUUUCAGAGAUGAGAAUGUGCCUUCGGGAACCGUGAGACAGGUGCUGCAUGGGCUGUCGUCAGCUCGUGUCGUGAGAUGUUGGGUUAAGUCCCGCAACGAGCGCAACCCCUAUCCUCAGCUGCCAUCAUUAAGUUGGGCACUCUGUGGAGACUGCCGGUGUCAAACCGGAGGAAGUGGGGAUGACGUCAAGUCCUCAUGGCCCUUAUGACCAGGGCUACACACGUGCUACAAUGGCCGGUACAAAGAGUUGCGAUACCGCGAGGUGGAGCUAAUCUCAUAAAGCCGGUCUCAGUUCGGAUUGGAGUCUGCAACUCGACUCCAUGAAGUUGGAAUCGCUAGUAAUCGCGGAUCAGCACGCCGCGGUGAAUACGUUCCCGGGCCUU
rnacentral:rRNA from 1 species